GAUGAACGCCGGCGGCGUGCCUAAUACAUGCAAGUCGAGCGAACGGACGAGAAGCUUGCUUCUCUGAUGUUAGCGGCGGACGGGUGAGUAACACGUGGAUAACCUACCUAUAAGACUGGGAUAACUUCGGGAAACCGGAGCUAAUACCGGAUAAUAUUUUGAACCGCAUGGUUCAAAAGUGAAAGACGGUCUUGCUGUCACUUAUAGAUGGAUCCGCGCUGCAUUAGCUAGUUGGUAAGGUAACGGCUUACCAAGGCAACGAUGCAUAGCCGACCUGAGAGGGUGAUCGGCCACACUGGAACUGAGACACGGUCCAGACUCCUACGGGAGGCAGCAGUAGGGAAUCUUCCGCAAUGGGCGAAAGCCUGACGGAGCAACGCCGCGUGAGUGAUGAAGGUCUUCGGAUCGUAAAACUCUGUUAUUAGGGAAGAACAUAUGUGUAAGUAACUGUGCACAUCUUGACGGUACCUAAUCGGAAAGCCACGGCUAACUACGUG
rnacentral:rRNA from 1 species